ACGAUGAUUUCUAGCUUGCUAGAAUGAUUAGUGGCGAACGGGUGAGUAAUGUAUCGGAACGUAUCCAAUAAUGGGGGAUAACUAAUCGAAAGGUUGGCCAAUACCGCAUACGCCCUACGGGGGAAAGCAGGGGAUCUUCGGACCUUGCGUUAAUGGAGCGGCCGAUAUCAGAUUAGGUAGUUGGUGGGGUAAAGGCUCACCAAGCCGACGAUCUGUAGCUGGUCUGAGAGGACGACCAGCCACACUGGGACUGAGACACGGCCCAGACUCCUACGGGAGGCAGCAGUGGGGAAUUUUGGACAAUGGGCGCAAGCCUGAUCCAGCAAUGCCGCGUGCAGGAUGAAGGCCUUCGGGUUGUAAACUGCUUUUGUACGGAGCGAAAAGGCUUCCACUAAUACUGGGGGCUCAUGACGGUACCGUAAGAAUAAGCACCGGCUAACUACGUGCCAGCAGCCGCGGUAAUACGUAGGGUGCGAGCGUUAAUCGGAAUUACUGGGCGUAAAGCGUGCGCAGGCGGUUAUGUAAGACAGGUGUGAAAUCCCCGGGCUUAACCUGGGAACUGCAUUUGUGACUGCAUAGCUAGAGUACGGUAGAGGGGGAUGGAAUUCCGCGUGUAGCAGUGAAAUGCGUAGAUAUGCG
rnacentral:rRNA from 1 species